rnacentral:rRNA from 1 species
GCGCGAAAACUUUACAAUGCUGGCAACAGCGAUAAGGGAACCUCGAGUGCCAGGUUACAAAUCUGGCUGUCGAGAUGCCUAAAAAGCAUUUCAUAGCAAGGGCCGGGCAAGACCGGUGCCAGCCGCCGCGGUAACACCGGCGGCUCGAGUGGUAACCGUUAUUAUUUGGUCUAAAGGGUCUGUAGCCGGCCGGAUAAGUCUCUUGAGAAAUCUGGCAGCUUAACUGUCAGGCUUUCAGGAGAUACUGUCUGGCUCGAGGCCGGGAGAGGUGAGAGGUACUUCAGGGGUAGGGGUGAAAUCCUGUAAUCCUUGAGGGACCACCUGUGGCGAAGGCGUCUCACCAGAACGGACCUGACGGCAAGGGACGAAAGCUAGGGGCACGAACC